CAUUUUCUCCCUGCCUUUGGAAUAUCCUUGCCUCUUGGAUUUUGAGAACCAAGAGGCAAGGAUGUUCCAAAGACAGGAAGAAGAUGCAGGAAUUA